ensembl:snRNA U6 U6 spliceosomal RNA
UUGCUUUGGUAGCAAAUGUAAAAAUGAAAGAUAUAGAGAAUAUGAGGAUGGUUCCUUCCCAAGAUGAAACACACAUUUGUGAAGAAUUCUAUAUUUUA